AUUGAACGCUGGCGGCAGGCUUAACACAUGCAAGUCGAGCGGAGAUGAGGUGCUUGCACCUUAUCUUAGCGGCGGACGGGUGAGUAAUGCUUAGGAAUCUGCCUAUUAGUGGGGGACAACAUUCCGAAAGGAAUGCUAAUACCGCAUACGCCCUACGGGGGAAAGCAGGGAAUCUUCGGACCUUGCGCUAAUAGAUGAGCCUAAGUCGGAUUAGCUAGUUGGUGGGGUAAAGGCCUACCAAGGCGACGAUCUGUAGCGGGUCUGAGAGGAUGAUCCGCCACACUGGGACUGAGACACGGCCCAGACUCCUACGGGAGGCAGCAGUGGGGAAUAUUGGACAAUGGGCGGAAGCCUGAUCCAGCCAUGCCGCGUGUGUGAAGAAGGCCUUUUGGUUGUAAAGCACUUUAAGUCGGGAGGAAGGGCUGCAGGUUAAUACCUUGCAGCCUUGACGUUACCGACAGAAUAAGCACCGGCUAACUUCGUGCCAGCCGCCGCAGUAAGAC
rnacentral:rRNA from 1 species